rnacentral:rRNA from 1 species
AACGAACGCUGGCGGCAUGCCUAACACAUGCAAGUCGAACGAGACCUCCGGGUCUUGUGGCGCACGGGUGCGUAACGCGUGGGAACCUGCCCUUAGGUACGGAAUAACUCCCCGAAAGGGGUGCUAAUACCGGAUAAUGUCUUCGGACCAAAGAUUUAUCGCCGUUGGAUGGGCCCGCGUUGGAUUAGCUGGUUGGUAGGGUAAAAGCCUACCAAGGCGACGAUGCAUAGCUGGUCUGAGAGGAUGAUCAGCCACACUGGGGCUGCGACACGGCCCAGACUCCUACGGAAGGCAGCAGUGGGGAAUAUUGGACAAGGGGCGAAGGCCUGAUCCAGCAAUGCCGCGUGAGUGAUGAAGGCCUUAGGGUUGUAAAGCUCUUUUACCCGGGAUGAUAAUGACGGUACCGGGAGAAUAAGCUCCGGCUAACUCCGUG